AGCGAACCGGGGGAACUGAAACAUCUAAGUACCCCGAGGAAAAGAAAUCAACCGAGAUUCCCCCAGUAGCGGCGAGCGAACGGGGAGCAGCCCAGAGUCUGAAUCAGCUUGUGUGUUAGUGGAACGGUCUGGAAAGUCCGACGGUACAGGGUGAUAGUCCCGUACACCAAAAUGCACAGGUUGUGAACUCGAAGAGUAGGGCGGGACACGUGGUAUCCUGUCUGAAUAUGGGGGGACCAUCCUCCAAGGCUAAAUACUCCUGACUGACCGAUAGUGAACCAGUACCGUGAGGGAAAGGCGAAAAGAACCCCGGCGAGGGGAGUGAAAAAGAACCUGAAACCGUGUACGUACAAGCAGUGGGAGCCUCUUUAUGGGGUGACUGCGUACCUUUUGUAUAAUGGGUCAGCGACUUAUAUUCUGUAGCAAGGUUAACCGUAUAGGGGAGCCGAAGGGAAACCGAGUCUUAACUGGGCGUUAAGUUGCAGGGUAUAGACCCGAAACCCGGUGAUCUAGCCAUGGGCAGGUUGAAGGUUGGGUAACACUAACUGGAGGACCGAACCGACUAAUGUUGAAAAAUUAGCGGAUGACUUGUGGCUGGGGGUGAAAGGCCAAUCAAACCGGGAGAUAGCUGGUUCUCCCCGAAAGCU
rnacentral:rRNA from 1 species